UCGAGCGGGGAGGGUAGCUUGCUACCUAACCUAGCGGCGGACGGGUGAGUAAUGCUUAGGAAUCUGCCUAUUAGUGGGGGACAACAUUCCGAAAGGAAUGCUAAUACCGCAUACGCCCUACGGGGGAAAGCAGGGGAUCUUCGGACCUUGCGCUAAUAGAUGAGCCUAAGUCAGAUUAGCUAGUUGGUGGGGUAAAGGCCUACCAAGGCGACGAUCUGUAGCGGGUCUGAGAGGAUGAUCCGCCACACUGGGACUGAGACACGGCCCAGACUCCUACGGGAGGCAGCAGUGGGGAAUAUUGGACAAUGGGCGAAAGCCUGAUCCAGCCAUGCCGCGGGUGUGAAGAAGGCCUUUUGGUUGUAAAGCACUUUAAGCGAGGAGGAGGCUACUUAGAUUAAUACUCUAGGAUAGUGGACGUUACUCGAAGAAUAAGCACCGGCUAACUCUGUGCCAGCAGCCCCCGGUAAUACAGAGGGUGCGAGCGUUAAUCGGAUUUACUGGUCGAAAAGCCCGCGUAGGCGGCUAUUUAAGUCGGAGGUGGAAUCCCUGAGCUUAACUUAGGAGUUUCCU
rnacentral:rRNA from 1 species